AUAUGAAUGAAUUCCAUGCUACAUCAGUGAGUUCUUCUCGUCCUCCUAUCUGUGGCAGAGGCAAGAUCAUGUGGUACUUAACACAGACCCAGGACUGCUCCUUCUGGCUUGUGAGUGUUGUUAUCAAACAGAGGAGGAAAAUGGAAGCCCUGGAGGAGGCUGAGUGCCUAGGAAAGAGGGAUCCUGAAAUGGUGGAGAAGUAAAGGUAAAUCCUGAGCUGCAACCAGGCCUCCAUAUGAAAACCAGCAGGAAGUGGUUCUGGUUCUGCUCUCCGACUCCUUAGGCCCUGGGUUUCCUCAUUGCCAAAGUGAGAAGUCUGAUCAAAGCGAUGCUCCAGGCCACCUUGUGAUCUUCCUUCUCAGAAGCUCCAGUCUGACAAAAGGGUUGUGCUGCCGGGCCGAGAUGGAGCUCAGAAAGUACAAACCCUCCUUCACUUGUGGCCUGAUGAAGGAAACAUCCUGUUGCCUGCCUGACCCACGACAAAGUGCACAAGAGAUCGUACCCCAGCCGACUUCCUGUCAGAGAGAGCCAAGCAAACAUGCUCGCUUGCUCUGAGCCUUUAAAAUAUCUCCCCUUAGAUUUCUAAGGAAAUGUGAGGCGAAGAGAUAACAGACAAACCAAGUGUGUUUAAAGAUGCCCUUUUGGGGCCGUUUUGUCAGUUUUUGGAAGGGUUGGUUAUCCAGGAUAAUCUGAAGGCUAGGAAAUAAAGGAGAGUUAGGGUUUGUACUGGAGCCAUCUGAGAGCAAGGCCCUCUUCUAAAA
ensembl:lncRNA